GAGUUCACUAGUGAUUCAGGCCUAACACAUGCAAGUCGAGCGGUAGAGAGAAGCUUGCUUCUCUUGAAAAAAAAGGACGGGUGAGUGAUGCCUAGGAAUCUGCCUGGUAGUGGGGGAUAACGUUCGGAAACGGAGGCUAAUAGCGCAUACGUCCUACGGGAGGAAGCAGGGGACCGUGGGGCCGUGCGGUAUCAGAUGAGCCUAGGUCGGAUUAGGUAGUUGGUGAGGUAAUGGCUCACCAAGGCUACGAUCCGUAACUGGUCUGAGAGGAUGAUCAGUCACACUGGAUUUGGGGGGCGGUCCAGACUCCUACGGGAGGCAGCAGUGGGGAAUAUUGGACAAUGGGC
rnacentral:rRNA from 1 species